UCCAAGACCAGAAGAGGGUGAUGUCCUUCCUGCCUCCAAGACCAGAAGAGGGUGAUGUCCUUCCUGCCUCCAAGACCUGCCUCAGAAAGUGCUGGGGCCUCCUUGUAUCCACCCCAGGCUUCUGUCCCUGGUGGGGUGAAGACCAGCAGAAGAGGAUGAUGUCCUUCCUGCCUCCAAGACCAGAAGAGGGUGAUGUCCUUCCUGCCUCCAAGACCAGAAGAGGGUGACGUCCUUCCUGCCUCCAAGGCAUGCCUCAAAGUGCUGAGCUGGUGAGUCCAGAGAGCUGGCGGUCAAACUCUCCACAAGAAGCAGCAGCAGUGGAUUGACCGGACGCUGUUUACCAGGAGCCGCCUACAGAGCUCACAGUUCAUCACUGUCCUUGCCCUGGUGGGGUGAAGACCAGAAGAGGGUGAUGUCCUUCCUGCCUCCAAGACCAGAAGAGGGUGAUGUCCUUCCUGCCUCCAAGA